GAAGACCACCACCUCUGCGGCACUGGAGCCAUAGGGCCCACAGUCUUCAGAAGGCGCUGCGGAUUCUUGAAGCUCCACCAGAGAAAGACAAAUAUGAGAAGGGAUUCUAGCCCAGCCUCAAAGAUUUCAGACGUGUGGUUUUUCCAGACGGGUCAAGGACUUCUCCUCUUAACGGCCAUAAGCCAAGGAAAAGAAGGUCUCAGAGAUUGGGGGAGGUAUUGCUGGGAAUCGGGGGGAAUUCUUCCCUGGAAGCUGGCGUCUCUUCCAGAGAGGCACAAUGCUGCCUGGGAAUUCUACAGACAGACCCAGAGUCCCAGUCCCAGCUUCCACCACCGGGACCAACGGCGGGGACAUUUCUCUCAAGGAUAAUACGGGGUUUCAGCAGUGUUUGGGGCAAGAUCAAAGAGGUGAGAGAGGGGCAAGGCUUAGACCUGGAGGCUGCUGAGAUCACCAAAAAGCCCAAACCGCGAGGGGAAAACCCACUGCUGCUUUGGGGAGUGACUGUCAUUUUGGAGAUGGCAGGUAAGUUCCCUGUGAAGUAUCUGAAAUGGACCGGAACAGGAAAAAACAAAAACACCAGCCCAACAGGAGGCCUGGAGUCAUCCCAUGCACCCCCUCCUGACCCUGGACUCCAUGGAAGGCCGCUCUUUCCUAGAGCUCUGGGACAGGCUCACAUGUUUCCAAACCCGCAACCAGCCCCAACAUGCCUCAGACCCACUCCAAGCUCCCACUCCAGCCCCAACCCACUUCCUCCCCGUCCGUGCGGCGGACGCCGCUCCAGACCCUUCCAAGCAAAGAGCGUAUCCCUUUUACAUCCAGGGUGUGUUCUGCUUAAAAAAGAAAAAAAAAAUUAAGGUCCACGUCCCCCUGCCAAAUCCUGGGUGUGAGCUAAGUGCAAAGUUAAAAUUAAACUGAAAAUUUGUACUUUGGGUUUAGAUUCUCUCGCAACUCCACUGGCCCUUUAAAAAUAUCUGAAUGUGGUUACUCUCUCUCCAGCCCAACCACUGGCUUCCUCCGCUGGUGUCAGAAGCUUUUCAAACACCCAUGGACAGAAGUACUCGGGAGUCUAUGCUU